AACGAACGCUGGCGGCGUGCCUAACACAUGCAAGUCGAACGGGAUUAGGGGCUUGCUCCUAAUCUAGUGGCGCACGGGUGAGUAACGCGUAGAUAAUCUGCCUGAUGAUCCGGGAUAACACUUCGAAAGAGGUGCUAAUACCGGAUAAGCCCACGGGUUCUUUGGAAUCUGCGGGAAAAGGGGGGGACCUUCGGGACUUCUGUCAUCAGAUGAGUCUGCGUACCAUUAGCUAGUUGGUAGGGUAAAGGCCUACCAAGGCGACGAUGGUUAGCUGGUCUGAGAGGAUGAUCAGCCACACUGGAACUGAGACACGGUCCAGACUCCUACGGGAGGCAGCAGUGGGGAAUUUCGCGCAAUGGGCGAAAGCCUGACGCAGCAACGCCGCGUGAGUGAUGAAGGCUUUCGGGUCGUAAAGCUCUGUCAAUGGGAAAGAAGUGUACGAGGGCUAAUAUCCUUUGUACUUGACGGUACCCAUAAAGGAAGCACCGGCUAACUCCGUGCCAGCCGCCGCCGUAACAC
rnacentral:rRNA from 1 species